rnacentral:lncRNA from 1 species
GUUGUUGGGGUCUCGAAAGGAUUUGAAAAGCGACUUCAAUUAGUUGGGGUUGGAUAUCGGGCGACGCUGGAGGGCAGGGAUCUUGUUCUGAACCUUGGAUUCUCCCAUCCAGUGAGGAUGGCCAUCCCUGAUGGCUUGCAAGUGAUGGUGGAGGACAACACUAGGAUCGCCGUCAUCGGAUACGACAAGUGUGCCAUUGGUGAGUUUGCUGCUGCAGUAAGGAAGUGGAGGCCUCCCGAACCAUACAAGGGUAAAGGUAUCAAAUAUGCUGAUGAAAUUGUGAGGAGGAAGGACGGAAAAGCUGGCAAAAAGAAGUAGAAGUGACCAAACCUACCAUAUGUUCUUUGC